CAGAGGGGGAUAACGUUUGGAAACGAACGCUAAUACCGCAUGAUAUUAUUGAGCUGCAUGGCUUGAUAAUCAAAGGAGCAAUCCGCUGAAAGAUGGGCUCGCGUCCGAUUAGGUAGUUGGCGGGGCAACGGCCCACCAAGCCGACGAUCGGUAGCCGGACUGAGAGGUUGAACGGCCACAUUGGGACUGAGACACGGCCCAGACUCCUACGGGAGGCAGCAGUGAGGGAUAUUGGUCAAUGGGGGAAACCCUGAACCAGCAACGCCGCGUGAGGGAAGACGGUUUUCGGAUUGUAAACCUCUGUCCUCUGUGAAGAUAAUGACGGUAGCAGAGGAGGAAGCUCCGGCUAACUACGUGCCAGCAGCCGCGGUAAUACGUAGGGAGCAAGCGUUGUCCGGAUUUACUGGGUGUAAAGGGUGCGUAGGCGGCUUUGCAAGUCAGAAGUGAAAUCCAUGGGCUUAACCCAUGAACUGCUUUUGAAACUGCAGAGCUUGAGUGGAGUAGAGGUAGGCGGAAUUCCCGGUGUAGCGGUGAAAUGCGUAGAGAUCGGGAGGAACACCAGUGGCGAAGGCGGCCCGCUGGGCUCUAACUGACGCUGAGGCACGAAAGCGUGGGUAGCAAACAGGAUUAGAUACCCUGGUAGUCCACGCUGUAAAC
rnacentral:rRNA from 1 species